GUGCCAGCAGCCGCGGUAAUACGUAGGUGGCAAGCGUUGUCCGGAAUUAUUGGGCGUAAAGCGCGCGCAGGCGGUUCUUUAAGUCUGAUGUGAAAGCCCCCGGCUCAACCGGGGAGGGUCAUUGGAAACUGGGGAACUUGAGUGCAGAAGAGGAGAGUGGAAUUCCACGUGUAGCGGUGAAAUGCGUAGAGAUGUGGAGGAACACCAGUGGCGAAGGCGACUCUCUGGUCUGUAACUGACGCUGAGGCGCGAAAGCGUGGGGAGCGAACAGGAUUAGAUACCCUGGUAGUCC
rnacentral:rRNA from 1 species